ACUCAGAUCAGCAGUGGGUUUUACAAUGGCUUUGUGUGAACAUUGUGCUCGUAUCUUAUAGUGUUUCUCAACAUUCUAAAGGGAAGGUAUUAUGCUAAUCCAGUUUGACAGCCGAAAAGGUUCACAUUGCCUUGAAACAUUGUUAUGCAUCCUGAGAAGACCCUGGGCCUUUAGCCUGUUGUAAUAAAGAUGCUCACUAGGGCUUAAUUAAUAAUGAAAUAAC